GAUGAACGCUGGCGGCGUGCCUAAUACAUGCAAGUCGAGCGAACAGACGAGGAGCUUGCUCCUCUGACGUUAGCGGCGGACGGGUGAGUAACACGUGGAUCACCUACCUAUAAGACUGGGAUAACUUCGGGAAACCGGAGCUAAUACCGGAUAAUAUCUUGAACCGCAUGGUUCAAUAGUGAAAGACGGUUUUGCUGUCACUUAUAGAUGGAUCCGCGCCGCAUUAGCUAGUUGGUAAGGUAACGGCUUACCAAGGCAACGAUGCGUAGCCGACCUGAGAGGGUGAUCGGCCACACUGGAACUGAGACACGGUCCAGACGCCUACGGGAGGCAGCAGUAGGGAAUCUUCCGCAAUGGGCGAAAGCUUGACGGAGCAACGCCGCGUGAGUGAUGAAGGUCUUCGGAUCGUAAAACUCUGUUAUUAGGGAAGAACAAAUGUGUAAGUAACUAUGCACGUCUUGACGGUACCUAAUCAGAAAGCCACGGCUAACUACGUG
rnacentral:rRNA from 1 species